rnacentral:lncRNA from 1 species
AAUUUUACAUUUAAUACUUAAUUAAAGUUGAGCGCCUUUAACAUAAUACUUCAAAUUAUUCUAAUAAAACUAAAACAUUAAGAAUAAUACGUCUAAUAAAUUUAAAAUUGCACAAAUUGUCUCAAAUUAACUUAAAAUUUUAAAUACGAAUAUCUGGAGAACGCACAAGACAACUCUUUAUAUGCCUCCUUAAGCAGCUUGUGCCUUCCAGUUUUGGACGAUGAGUGUAGACUCGACCACAGUUCUUGCACUUUAUAAUGUAAACUUCUUUAUUUUCUUCUACCGCAUUAAAGUGUUUUAAAAUAAAUGGGCGCAAUCUUGAAUCACUAGGCAUAAUUUAACCUGCAUUAAGAAUUUGAGUUUGUGAAAUGUGAGAUGAGUGAAGACUUGAAGACUUGAAUACUUCAAUUUGAGUUUGAGAAAUGAG